rnacentral:rRNA from 1 species
AUGAACGCUAGCGACAGGCUUAACACAUGCAAGUCGAGGGGCAGCACAGGUAGCAAUACCGGGUGGCGACCGGCGCACGGGUGAGUAACGCGUAUGCAACUUGCCUAUCAGAGGGGGAUAACCCGGCGAAAGUCGGACUAAUACCGCAUGAAGCAGGGGCCCCGCAUGGGGAUAUUUGCUAAAGAUUCAUCGCUGAUAGAUAGGCAUGCGUUCCAUUAGGCAGUUGGCGGGGUAACGGCCCACCAAACCGACGAUGGAUAGGGGUUCUGAGAGGAAGGUCCCCCACAUUGGUACUGAGACACGGACCAAACUCCUACGGGAGGCAGCAGUGAGGAAUAUUGGUCAAUGGGCGUAAGCCUGAACCAGCCAAGUCGCGUGAGGGAUGAAGGUUCUAUGGAUCGUAAACCUCUUUUAUAAGGGAAUAAAGUGCGGGACGUGUCCCGUUUUGUAUGUACCUUAUGAAUAAGGAUCGGCUAACUCCGUGCCAGCAGCCGCGGUAAUACGGAGGAUCCGAGCGUUAUCCGGAUUUAUUGGGUUUAAAGGGUGCGUAGGCGGCCUUUUAAGUCAGCGGUGAAAGUCUGUGGCUCAACCAUAGAAUUGCCGUUGAAACUGGGGGGCUUGAGUAUGUUUGAGGCAGGCGGAAUGCGUGGUGUAGCGGUGAAAUGCAUAGAUAUCACGCAGAACCCCGAUUGCGAAGGCAGCCUGCCAAGCCAUUACUGACGCUGAUGCACGAAAGCGUGGGGAUCAAACAGGAUUAGAUACCCUGGUAGUCCACGCAGUAAACGAUGAUCACUAGCUGUUUGCGAUACACUGUAAGCGGCACAGCGAAAGCGUUAAGUGAUCCACCUGGGGAGUACGCCGGCAACGGUGAAACUCAAAGGAAUUGACGGGGGCCCGCACAAGCGGAGGAACAUGUGGUUUAAUUCGAUGAUACGCGAGGAACCUUACCCGGGCUUGAAUUGCAGAGGAAGGAUUUGGAGACAAUGACGCCCUUCGGGGCCUCUGUGAAGGUGCUGCAUGGUUGUCGUCAGCUCGUGCCGUGAGGUGUCGGCUUAAGUGCCAUAACGAGCGCAACCCUUGCCACUAGUUACUAACAGGUAAAGCUGAGGACUCUGGUGGGACUGCCAGCGUAAGCUGCGAGGAAGGCGGGGAUGACGUCAAAUCAGCACGGCCCUUACAUCCGGGGCGACACACGUGUUACAAUGGCGUGGACAAAGGGAAGCCACCUGGCGACAGGGAGCGAAUCCCCAAACCACGUCUCAGUUCGGAUCGGAGUCUGCAACCCGACUCCGUGAAGCUGGAUUCGCUAGUAAUCGCGCAUCAGCCAUGGCGCGGUGAAUACGUUCCCGGGCCUUGUACACACCGCCCGUCAAGCCAUGGGAGCCGGGGGUACCUGAAGUCCGUAACCGCGAGGAUCGGCCUAGGGUAAAACUGGUGACUGGGGCU